AUUGAACGCUGGCGGCAGGCCUAACACAUGCAAGUCGAACGGAGCGGCGGACGGGUGGGUAAUGCCUAGGAAUCUGCCCGGUAGUGGGGGAUCACGUACGGGAACGGGAGCUAAUACCACAUACUUUCAGAUGAGCCUCGGUCGGAUUAGCUAGUUGGUGGGGUAAAGGCCUACCAAGGCGACGAUCCGUAACCGGUCUGAGAGGAUGAUCAGUCACACUGGAACUGAGACACGGCCCAGACUCCUACGGGAGGCAGCAGUGGGGAAUAUUGGGCAAUGGGCGAAAGCCUGAUCCAGCCAUGCCGCGUGUGUGAAGAAGGUCUUCGGAUUGUAAAGCACUUUAAGUUGGGAGGCGUUACCUACAGAAUAAGCACCGGCUAACUUCGUGCCAGCCGCCGCGGUAAUUC
rnacentral:rRNA from 1 species